ACUGUCUCAAGUGUCCCUCCUCCUCCCUUAGUUGUUUCUGGACAGGAAGAGUAUGGGGUCUCCUCCAUAAUUGAUUCCAGGUUUUCUUGGGGCACUUUACAGUACUUGGUGGAUUGGAAAGGUUAUGGACCAGCCGAUCGUUCUUGGGUUCUGGCAUCUGAUAUACAUGCUGGCCGCAAGAUUCGCUAUUUUCACGCCAAAUUUCCUCUCAAGCCUGGUCCUGCCCGCCCGGUAGGCGUUCUUCAGGUGUGGGGUAAUGUCACGUAUUCAUCCGCUUAUAAAAAUGUGGUUAAUUGCAUUUACUGUCAGGAAAAGUUGUGCCGAGCAGCAACCAAAUCCAGAGAAGGGUUAAUGCUGAGCAGCAAUUAUGCAAAUAGGAACCUGGUAACUGACUUUGGGGUCAAAGGCCGGUUACAGCCUAUCGGAUCUAGAGGAGGGGUAUUUAGGCCCAGUUCUCAUCCUUCUCAGUGCCCUGUCGUGGUUUCCCUUGUGCUUGUCCGAGAGCGCGUUAUUGAUUCUGGUUAUUUGACUUCCCUGUUUUCUGGCAUCCCUGACUCCUGGCUUUUCCUUAUCGUUGUGUCUCUUUCUGUAUCCCUUGACCUUGGCUAUUCCUGACUAUUCUUUGGUACGUUAGUCUGGCCAUUCUAAGGUCCGAUAUACGUUACUUAUCAGUCCUCUGUGUUACACAAUUCUACGUGCUGAUCAUAC